UAAAAUCACACAAUUAGGACAAUCCAACACAAUCUGUCGAGCAUCAGCACGGGAGAUGGUAAAACGUUUCUGAAGUGCUCGUGCAUUAAUAUGAAACUUACUAUGAAAGUCUGCAGCUUGAUCUAAGGAGGAAAUAGGGAACACCCAAGAAGGAUGAGUAGCAAGAUCUGCCUGGGCAUUGCCCGCAGAAAGAGCACCCGGUAAACCUGUGUGGGCUCGAAUAUGCAAGGGGUAAAAACAGGCGGAACGAUUCCAAAUCAAUGUUUGAAGAUGGAGAAAAAGGGAAGACAUUACUCCUGAUGUGUGUAUGGGACCCACUGCUUCCAACACCUUUAAAGCUUGAAUUACAUAGACAGAAUCUGAGAUUAAAUUAAAAGGAAAUGGACAUUGUUCAAAAACUUUUACGACAAUUUGUAGCUCCACCCAUUGUGGAUUACCAGGAGCAAACUGAUGUUGGAUAGGAGGUUGAUCAUUUAUCAUAUAAGCUCCAAUACCAGUCUUAGAUCCAUCUGUAAAGAUAUUUGCAGCUCCUGGAAUAGGCGUGGAAGAAGUGAUUUUAGGGAAAAUGACAGGAUGUUCCUUAACAAAUGUAAUAAGGAUGUGAUGGAUAGUGAUUAUCUAUCUCUCCUGGAAAAGAGCAUCGUAAUAUAGCCCAAUUAUCCAAGUUAGCACAUAAGACCAAAAUUUGUUGACAUGUAUAAGGAACAAUCACAGACGUUGGAGAGAAACCAAAAAAUUGUACAUUUUGUUGUAUCCCUAACAUAGCUAAGGAAGCAACUGCAUCAGGAUAAUACUCAAGGGAUUUUCCAGGGGACAUACGUGGAUGUAUCCACAGUAAAGGACCAUCUUGCCAUAAAACUCCAGUAGGUUGUCGCGCAGUGGCGAGCACACAUAGUUGGAGAGGUUUAUCCUCUUGAAACCUACAAAGGCUAGCAUGUUGUAUAGCCUCCUCCACUUUCAGCAGCGCUGACUUUGCUUCCUCAGUAAGAUGCCGAGGGGAAGAAAGGUCUGAAUCACCUUUAAGAAUUUCACACAAGGGUUUUAAUUCAGCAUUGGGAAUAUGUAAAUAACCCCUAAUCCAAUUUAUGUCACCUAAUAAUUUUUGGAAAUCAUUUAAGGUACGUAAAUUAUCGGUCCUGAGAGUUACCUUUUGGGGUGUAAUGAUUUUACAAGAGAUAGUAGCACCAAGAUAAUCAAUAGAAUCUCCUGUUUGUACUUUAUCAGAUGAAAUAAGCAAGCCCUUUGAUUGUAAUAAAUGUACCAAAUCAGUGUAAACUGCUUCCAACAUAUAUUUGGUUUUGGCUGCCAGCAAUAUAUCAUCCAUAUAAUGUAUACACUUCAACAAUGGAUACUUUUGUCUGAGUGGGACAAUGGCCGCUCCUACAAACAUUUGACACAUUGUAGGGCUAUUGGCCAUGCCUUGAGGCAAAACCACCCAUUCAAACCUUUGAUCAGGUUCCUCAUGAUUACAUGAAGGCAGAGUAAAAGCAAAACGUUCGGAGUCCUGAGGAUGCAAUGGAAUGGAAAAGAAACAAUCUUUAAUGUCUGUACAUAUCAUUGGCCAAUUUUUUGGAAUUGUUGAAAGCAAAGGCAAACAUCUCUGAAUGGGUCUCAUGAGCUGCAUUUGAGCAUUAAUGACCCGUAGAUCGUGUAACAACCGCCAUUUUCCAGACUUCUUUUUAAUAAUAAAUAUGGGUGUAUUCCAUGGAGAAGUGGAGGGCUUUAUAUGUUCCAACUUUAAUUGUUCUUGUACUAAAGCAUAAGCUGCAGUCAAUUUUUCAGAGGGGAGCGGCCACUGAGGAACCCAUAUUGGCUCCCCUGUUUUCCAGGUAAUGGGCACCUGAUCCUCAGCGGCCACUAGGAAAAACCCAGUCCAUGUCUAUUAAGUUUUUGCUGAGGUUCUAAAGGAUGUCUACGUCCUUGCAAAUUUUUUCCUAAUCCAAGACCUGGUCUAUAUCUUAUGCCCUGCAUUAUCUUUUGGGCAACUGUUGAAUAUUCAUUACUAAGUUGAAACCCCAUGUCCUUCAUAAGAUCACGUCCCCAUAGAGAGAUA
rnacentral:lncRNA from 1 species